UACAGAGGUGGCAAGCGUUGUUCGGAAUUACUGGGCGUAAAGGGCGCGUAGGCGGCCUUGUAAGUCCUGUGUGAAAUCCCCCGGCUCAACUGGGGAACUGCACAGGAGACUGCUUGGCUUGAGUUCGGGAGAGGGAAGCGGAAUUCCGGGUGUAGCGGUGAAAUGCGUAGAUAUCCGGAGGAACACCGGUGGCGAAGGCGGCAUCCUGGACCAAUAUUGACGCUGAGGAGCGAAAGCCAGGGGAGCAAACGGG
rnacentral:rRNA from 1 species